GACGAAGGGGGCAAGCGUUGUUCGGAAUUACUGGGCGUAAAGGGCGCGUAGGCGGCUCUUUUAGUCAGACGUGAAAUCCCUCGGCUUAACCGGGGAACUGCGUCUGAUACUGGAUGGCUAGAGGUUGGGAGAGGGAUGCGGAAUUCCAGGUGUAGCGGUGAAAUGCGUAGAUAUCUGGAGGAACACCGGUGGCGAAGGCGGCAUCCUGGACCAAUUCUGACGCUGAUGAGCGAAAGCCAGGGGAGCAAACGGG
rnacentral:rRNA from 1 species